UACGGAGGGUGCAAGCGUUGUUCGGAAUUAUUGGGCGUAAAGGGCGCGUAGGCGGUAGUGAAAGUCAGAUGUGAAAUCCUCCGGCUCAACUGGAGAACUGCAUCUGAAACUUCACAACUCGAGUACAGGAGAGGGAAACGGAAUUCCCGGUGUAGAGGUGAAAUUCGUAGAUAUCGGGAGGAACACCAGUGGCGAAGGCGGUUUCCUGGCCUGAUACUGACGCUGAGGCGCGAAAGCGUGGGGAGCAAACAGG
rnacentral:rRNA from 1 species